rnacentral:rRNA from 1 species
GACAGAGGCCUCGAGCGUUAGGCGGAAUCACUGGGCUUAAAGCGUGUGUAGGCGGGCCCGUAAGUGUCUUGUGAAAUCCCACGGCUCAACCGUGGAACUGCUGGGCAUACUGCGGGUCUUGGGCCAACUAGGGGAAGCCGGAACAAGCGGUGGAGCGGUGAAAUGCGUAGAUAUCGCUUGGAACGCCGAAGGUGAAAACAGGCUGCUGGGGUUGCGCCGACGCUGAGACACGAAAGCCAGGGGAGCAAACGGG